rnacentral:rRNA from 1 species
UGGGGAAUUUUGGACAAUGGGCGGAAGCCUGAUCCAGCCAUGCCGCGUGAGUGAAGAAGGCCUUCGGGUUGUAAAGCUCUUUUAGUCGGAAAGAAAGAGUUGCAAUGAAUAAUUGUGAUUUAUGACGGUACCGACAGAAAAAGCACCGGCUAACUACGUGCCAGCAGCCGCGGUAAUACGUAGGGUGCGAGCGUUAAUCGGAAUUACUGGGCGUAAAGGGCGCGCAGGCGGUCUUGCAAGUCAGAUGUGAAAGCCCCGGGCUUAACCUGGGAAUUGCGUUUGAAACUACAAGGCUAGAGUGCAGCAGAGGGGAGUGGAAUUCCAUGUGUAGCAGUGAAAUGCGUAGAGAUGUGGAAGAACACCGAUGGCGAAGGCAGCUCCCUGGGUUGACACUGACGCUCAUGCACGAAAGCGUGGGGAGCAAACA